GUUGACGGGUGAGUAACACGUGGGUAACCUGCCUGUAAGACUGGGAUAACUCCGGGAAACCGGGGCUAAUACCGGAUGGUUGUUUGAACCGCAUGGUUCAAACAUAAAAGGUGGCUUCGGCUACCACUUUCAGAUGGACCCGCGGCGCAUUAGCUAGUUGGUGAGGUAACGGCUCACCAAGGCAACGAUGCGUAGCCGACCUGAGAGGGUGAUCGGCCACACUGGGACUGAGACACGGCCCAGACUCCUACGGGAGGCAGCAGUAGGGAAUCUUCCGCAAUGGACGAAAGUCUGACGGAGCAACGCCCCGUGAGUGAUGAAGGUUUUCGGAUCGAAAAGCUCUGUUGUUAGGGAAGAACAAGUACCGUUCGAAUAGGGCGGUACCUUGACGGUACCUAACCAGAAAGCCACGGCUAACUACGUGCCAGCAGCCGCGGUAAUACGUAGGUGGCAAGCGUUGUCCGGAAUUAUUGGGCGUAAAGGGCUCGCAGGCGGUUUCUUAAGUCUGAUGUGGGA
rnacentral:rRNA from 1 species